UUUGAAAUCUGGCAGUCUUCGAUUGUCCGAGUUGUAAUCUAUAGAGGCGUUUUCCGUGCCGGACCGUGUCCAAGUCUCCUGGAAAGGAGUAUCAAAGAGGGUGAUAAUCCCGUACUUAACACGACCACCGGUGCUCUGUGAUACGUCUUCUACGAGUCGAGUUGUUUGGGAAUGCAGCUCAAAAUGGGUGGUGAAUUCCAUCUAAAGCUAAAUAUUGGCGAGAGACCGAUAGCGAACAAGUACCGUGAGGGAAAGAUGAAAAGCACUUUGGAAAGAGAGUUAAACAGUACGUGAAAUUGUUGAAAGGGAAACGAUUGAAGUCAGUCGUGUUCUUUGGAUUCAGCCAGUUCUGCUGGUCUACUUCCUUGGAACGGGUCAACAUCAGUUUUGUCCGGUGGAUAAAGGUAGUAGGAAUGUGACUUCUCCGGAAGUGUUAUAGCCUAUUAUCACAUACACUGGGUGAGACUGAGGACUGCAGCUCGCCUUUAUGGCCGGCCUUCGGGCACGUUCGAGCUUAGGAUGUUGACAUAAUGG
rnacentral:rRNA from 1 species